GCGGAUGUGGUGGAACUGGUAGACACGCUAGACUUAGGAUCUAGUGCCGCAAGGUGUGCAGGUUCGAUUCCUGUCAUCCGCACCA
rnacentral:tRNA from 3 species